AGCCCGCACAAUGACUUCCAGCUGGAGCAGCCCAGCCAGCCUGCGCGCUCACUCGCUUGCUUGCGCUGGGCUUCAGGGCGCCCGGAUUUCUUGCUUCAAAACAGCUGCAUUUUUGGAAGAAAGUCCACAACUGACAACUAAGCAAAACCCUCCUGGUGGAUAGCAUAAAUCUGCUUUGUUGAAGCUGCUCAUUUGUCUGAUCUAUGAGUCCAGAAGAUGCAAACUCCCUUCCCAGCUUAUGCAAAAAUACUUCCAGUAAAAACAAGCCCUUUGGCCCUUUUCUUUUGUCAGUCCAGAUUUCAGCAUGUUCUUCGCUUUGUUAUUCAUCAUUUUAUGUAUUUGGACCCAUCCUCAAACAGACUUUAAACCGUUUAAAGGCAAGGAGGGACUCUUUCGUAAACCUUUAAUCCCCUGGCCCAGCUGAGUAGAUGCACAGUGUCUUUUGAUGAUGGUGAUAUGGAAUGAUUAAUAACCACACAAGGCAUUCGGUUGGUCAAGUCACUGUUUAUUGGCUCAAAAUAAUCCUUGGUUUCUGUAUGUCUACAGCUCACUUCCUAAACAGUUAAAUCCGGAGAAGUCUAAUAGAUAAUAGUUGGUGAUCAUAAAUAUAAAUAACCAAUACAUUAGAAUGUGUAGUCAAAAUAGGAAUACUUGCUUUUCACUUACUUCCCACGGGUCGCUGCUGGUGGUAGUCAACACAAAUAAAAAUUUGAACUCAUUUUGUUAUUCAUCUAAAAUGAGAAACUCGGUGAAACAUUGAUUUUCUAAAAUUGCUGCAUAUUUAAAUGUGAUUAUAAUUGCUUUUUAGCAUUUUAAAAUUGUAACAUCGAUACCAAAUGCUUAAGAAUCUAAAGAAUAGUCUAUUGGGGCUGGCCUAUUUUGUGUAAAAUGGUCUGUAUCAUAAUGGAUGACUGAUUAUCCCAUCCACAUUAUUUGGAUUCACUUAAUACUAGGUUUUAACGUUAGGAGAAUAAAACCCUCAAGAAACCUAACAUAGAUUUGUAUAUUUAGUUUUCUCCUUCCUUAUCAUCUUCCACCAGACUUACAGGUGUUCCACCUGCUUGUAGUUUCGGUAAUAAUACCAGCUGGCGGUGGUUCCUAACUCUAGCUACACUUUAAAAUUACCUCGUGCAUUUAAAAAAAAAAUGCAGUUGUUUAGGUUCUUCCCCUAGAUAUUUUAAUUUACAAGGUUUGGGAUGUGGCCUGGGCACCGAUUUUUUUAACUUUUUAUUUGAAUGUAGACUUACAGGAAGUUGCAAAGAUAGUACAGAGAGGUCUGAUAGAGCCUCCACUGUUGGUUACAUCCCGCAUAGCUAGAGCACAAUAAUAAAGCCAGGACAUUGACACUGAGAUAAAAUGUGCCUGUGAUUCUGUGUCACCUUAUCCCUGAAGACUCUUGUAAUCAUUACCACAAUCAAAAUACAAACUAUUUCAACACCACGAAGAUCUCUCUCAUACAGUCCCUUUAUGGUCGUCCCUUUCUUUCCCCCACACCAUCCCUAACCCUUUGCAACCAUCAGUCUGUUCUCCAUUUCUAUAAUUUUGUCGUUUGGGGAAUGUUUUAUAAAUUGGUCCUCACAGCUUGUGACCUUCUAAGAUUAGCUCACCAUCCCCCCCACCCCCCCACCCCACCCAACUCAGCAGAAUGCCCUAGAGAUUUAUCCAAGUUAUUGCAGGUAUUUCUAGUUUGUUCCUUUCUGUUACUGAGUUCUACACUAUGGGUGUAACACAGUUUGUUUAAUCAUUCAGCAUUCACCUAUCAUACAUUUUGGUUCCUUCUUUUUUUGGGCGGGGGGAGUGCCUAUUACAAAUAAAACUGUCUUGAAAAAUUG
rnacentral:lncRNA from 1 species